AAGGCAGCAGGCGCGCAAAUUACCCAAUCCCGACACGGGGAGGUAGUGACAAUAAAUACUGAUACGGGGCUCUUUCGGGUCUCGUAAUUGGAAUGAGUACAAUCUAAAUCCCUUAACGAGGAACAAUUGGAGGGCAAGUCUGGUGCCAGCAGCCGCGGUAAUUCCAGCUCCAAUAGCGUAUAUUAAAGUUGUUGCAGUUAAAAAGCUCGUAGUUGAACCUUGGGUCUGGCUGGCCGGUCCGCCUCACCGCGAGUACUGGUCCGGCUGGACCUUUCCUUCUGGGGAAUCCCAUGGCCUUCACUGGCUGUGGGGGGAACCAGGACUUUUACUGUGAAAAAAUUAGAGUGUUCAAAGCAGGCCUUUGCUCGAAUACAUUAGCAUGGAAUAAUAGAAUAGGACGUGCGGUUCUAUUUUGUUGGUUUCUAGGACCGCCGUAAUGAUUAAUAGGGAUAGUCGGGGGCGUCAGUAUUCAGCUGUCAGAGGUGAAAUUCUUGGAUUUGCUGAAGACUAACUACUGCGAAAGCAUUCGCCAAGGAUGUUUUCAUUAAUCAGGGAACGAAAGUUAGGGGAUCGAAGACGAUCAGAUACCGUCGUAGUCUUAACCAUAAACUAUGCCGACUAGGGAUCGGGCGGUGUUUCUAUGAUGACCCGCUCGGCACCUUACGAGAAAUCAAAGUUUUUGGGUU
rnacentral:rRNA from 1 species